AUGCAGCGGAGUGAAACUGUGUGCUUUGUUCUUUGAAAGUGAAUACAGACCGCAGUUAACAGAAGAAAUUGAAUGAAAGAGGGUCAGGAAGAAGUAAGUGGAAACAACACCGAGUCUGGUCAAGCCGGGGAGGAAGUUUAAAAGAAGAGAGUCAAGACUCAGGGAUGAUUUACCAGAGUAAACACUGUACCCUUGACCAGAGAAAAAUUAAAUAAGAGUAAGCUUAUGCCAUUGGAUCAGCCAUGAGUAUCCAGUCUGGUUUUCAGUCUCUAAAGAACCACCGAGAUGAAGCACGAUCAGAAAGGUCACAAAUCCAAUCUCCAGAUUUCCAGGAGACACCCCAUACUUUCUGAAGGUAACUGAGAAUUUCUCUCUCAUGGCCAUAGAGAACAUACCAGCUUCCCAGAAGAACUGAUAUACUAGAAAGAAUACUUACUCAUUUC